rnacentral:lncRNA from 1 species
AGGUGAUGAUGAGGAUGAUGGAAUAUGACAAUAAAGAGAAAUGGAAGAUUCAAGAUAAAAUGGUGAUUAUGGAGGUUAAAGUUUGGUUAUGUGAUUUUGGUAUUUUGGUGGAGAUGAAGACUUGUUCAAGGUUGAAAGUUGGUUGAAGAAUGGUGAAGAAUUUUAUGAUUUUUUUGGUGGAUCGUGAAGUUGUGAAUUUUUUAGUGAGUUUGUAAAGUUUGAUUAUGGAAUAGUGAAGAAGUUUG